AGGGCACCACCAGGAGUGGAGCCUGCGGCUUAAUUUGACUCAACACGGGAAAACUUACCUGGUCCUGACACUAGAAGGAUUGACAGAUUGAUAGCUCUUUCUUGAUUUGGUGGAUGGUGGUGCAUGGCCGUUCUUAGUUGGUGGAGUGAUUUGUCUGGUUAAUUCCGAUAACGAACGAGACUCUAGCCUAUUAAAUAACACGCAGAAUCUUGUCUUCUGCGGUGUUUCUUAAUGGGAUCAAGUGUGUUUAACGCUUUGAAACAGAGCAAUAACAGGUCUGUGAUGCCCUUAGAUGUUCGGGGCUGCACGCGCGCUACAUUGAAAGACAAAAUGAGCCUUCUAGUUUUUAAUAAAGCUAGUAAUCUUUGAAUGUUUUUCUUAAUGGGGAUAGGGGAUUGCAAUUGUGCAACUUGAACGAGGAAUUCCCAGUAAGUGCUAAUCAUUAGUUAGUACUGAUUACGUCCCUGCCUUUUGUACACACCGCCCGUCGCUACUACCGAUUGAAUGGUUUAGUGAGAU
rnacentral:rRNA from 1 species